UUCACCCCACCCACAUUUUUUAAUGGAGCUGAAGUGAACACACUCUUUUAGGUUACUGCUGUUUAGGCAAGACUCUGUCUAGCUCCAAGAAUAACAUUAGCUGCUGCAGCACAGAUUAAGGGUUGGCAUGAAGGUCCAAGUGUGAGUUUGUCAUCGUUGGUUGGUGCCUGUUGUUCUGAAGACGAGAGAAGCACGAGCUUGUGUGACAUCAGCUUCCGCCUGAAGCAAAUACAAAGCACAGGACUUCUGAGCAUGGCAAGAGACCGUGAAGCAGCAGCACAGAGCACCAGUCCUUCGCUGCUAAGUAAGAAAGCCAAGAUUCUUUCACAAGCUCAAGAAGCAUAUUGCUGCUUUCCAAUAGAGCGUUGGUUUGAUGUGGCCUCUGCCUUCUCACUGGCUAAUCGAGCUCCACUGGGACUGGAGAUGGGUUCCAAGAAAGUACAAUUGAUUAGAUGCAUAUUUUCUGAAUUAUACAACAGAUCACACCCAGCUGCACAGCUUUUCUCAGAUAAUCCUUACAGACCAUUAAUGGAUAUCACACCAUGUCUGAGAGUCUUGCUCACUGUUGUUUGUAGUUGCUCCUGCCCUGGAUCAGAGCCCUUUCUAGUCUAUCUGCUCUUCUGAGAGAGAGAGACUGUGCCCUUUGGAACCCUGAGCAGCAUCAUUGCAGGUAUGGAGCCACACUACCAAGUGGAUUUUUUCUGGUGCACAGCAUCAGCCAGGUGUGUUCAGGGCUGCU
rnacentral:lncRNA from 1 species